UUAGAGUUUGAUCCUGGCUCAGAGCGAACGCUUGCGGCAGGCUUAACACAUGCAAGUCGAGCGGGCGUAGCAAUACGUCAGCGGCAGACGGGUGAGUAACGCGUGGGAACGUACCUUUUGGUUCGGAACAACACAGGGAAACUUGUGCUAAUACCGGAUAAGCCCUUACGGGGAAAGAUUUAUCGCCGAAAGAUCGGCCCGCGUCUGAUUAGCUAGUUGGGGAGGUAACGGCUCACCAAGGCGACGAUCAGUAGCUGGUCUGAAAGGAUGAUCAGCCACAUUGGGACUGAGACACGGCCCCCACUCCUACGGGAGGCAGCCAGUGCGAAAUAUUGGACAAUGGGGGCAACCCUGAUCCAGCCAUGCCGCGUGAGUGAUGAAGGCCCUAGGGUUGUAAAGCUCUUUUGUGCGGGAAGAUAAUGACAGUACCGCAAGAAUAAGCCCCGGCUAACUUCGUGCCAGCAGCCGCGGUAAUACGAAGGGGGCUAGCGUUGCUCGGAAUCACUGGGCGUAAAGGGUGCGUAGGCGGAUCUUUAAGUCAGAGGUGAAAGCCUGGAGCUCAACUCCAGAACUGCCUUUGAUACUGGGGAUCUUGAGUUCGGGAGAGGUGAGUGGAACUGCGAGUGUAGAGGUGAAAUUCGUAGAUAUUCGCAAGAACACCAGUGGCGAAGGCGGCUCACUGGCCCGAUACUGACGCUGAGGCACGAAAGCGUGGGGAGCAAACAGGCUUAGAUACCCUGGUAGUCCACGCCG
rnacentral:rRNA from 1 species